ACCGCAUACGUCCUACGGGAGAAAGGGGGCUUCGGCUCCCGCUAUUGGAUGAGCCUAUGUCGGAUUAGCUAGUUGGUGAGGUAAUGGCUCACCAAGGCAACGAUCCGUAGCUGGUCUGAGAGGAUGAUCAGCCACAUCGGGACUGAGACACGGCCCGAACUCCUACGGGAGGCAGCAGUGGGGAAUAUUGGACAAUGGGGGCAACCCUGAUCCAGCCAUGCCGCGUGUGUGAAGAAGGCCCUCGGGUUGUAAAGCACUUUCAGCGAGGAAGAACGCCUAUCGGUUAAUACCCGGUAGGAAAGACAUCACUCGCAGAAGAAGCACCGGCUAACUCCGUGCCAGCAGCCGCGGUAAUACGGAGGGUGCAAGCGUUAAUCGGAAUUACUGGGCGUAAAGCGCGCGUAGGUGGCUUGAUAAGCCGGUUGUGAAAGCCCCGGGCUCAACCUGGGAACGGCAUCCGGAACUGUCAGGCUAGAGUGCAGGAGAGGAAGGUAGAAUUCCCGGUGUAGCGGUGAAAUGCGUAGAGAUCGGGAGGAAUACCAGUGGCGAAGGCGGCCUUCUGGACUGACACUGACACUGAGGUGCGAAAGCGUGGGUAGCAAACAGGAUUAGAUACCCUGGUAGUCCACGCCGUAAACGAUGUCGACCAGCCGUUGGGUGCCUAGAGCACUUUGUGGCGAAGUUAACGCGAUAAGUCGACCGCCUGGGGAGUACGGCCGCAAGGUUAAAACUCAAAUGAAUUGACGGGGGCCCGCACAAGCGGUGGAGCAUGUGGUUUAAUUCGAUGCAACGCGAAGAACCUUACCUACCCUUGACAUCUACAGAAGCCGGAAGAGAUUCUGGUGUGCCUUCGGGAACUGUAAGACAGGUGCUGCAUGGCUGUCGUCAGCUCGUGUUGUGAAAUGUUGGGUUAAGUCCCGUAACGAACGCAACCCUUGUCCUUAUUUGCCAGCACGUAAUGGUGGGAACUCUAAGGAGACUGCCGGUGACAAACCGGAGGAAGGUGGGGACGACGUCAAGUCAUCAUGGCCCUUACGGGUAGGGCUACACACGUGCUACAAUGGCCGGUACAAAGGGCUGCGAGCUCGCGAGAGUCAGCGAAUCCCUUAAAGCCGGUCUCAGUCCGGAUCGGAGUCUGCAACUCGACUCCGUGAAGUCGGAAUCGCUAGUAAUCGUGAAUCAGAAUGUCACGGUGAAUACGUUCCCGGGCCUUGUACACACCGCCCGU
rnacentral:rRNA from 1 species